rnacentral:rRNA from 1 species
GUGAACGCUGGCGGUAGGCCUAACCCAUGCACGUCGCACGGCAGCACAGUAAGAGCUUGCUCUUACGGGUGGCGAGUGGCGGACGGGUGAGGAAUACAUCGGAAUCUACUUUUUCGUGGGGGAUAACGUAGGGAAACUUACGCUAAUACCGCAUACGACCUACGGGUGAAAGCAGGGGAUCUUCGGACCUUGCGCGAUUGAAUGAGCCGAUGUCGGAUUAGCUAGUUGGCGGGGUAAAGGCCCACCAAGGCGACGAUCCGUAGCUGGUCUGAGAGGAUGAUCAGCCACACUGGAACUGAGACACGGUCCAGACUCCUACGGGAGGCAGCAGUGGGGAAUAUUGGACAAUGGGCGCAAGCCUGAUCCAGCCAUACCGCGUGGGUGAAGAAGGCCUUCGGGUUGUAAAGCCCUUUUGUUGGGAAAGAAAAGCAGCAGGUUAAUACCCCGCUGUUCUGACGGUACCCAAAGAAUAAGCACCGGCUAACUUCGUG